AAAAUAACAAAUGGCCGACGUCUUAAGUUGUCAACAAACUCGUUGAAGAAAAAUAGAAUUAAACGUUAUUCAAGAAACCCAAUAAAUCUUUACCCACAAGUUAUGUUAAAUAAUAAAAUAAAAUUAUCAUCCGACUUACUGCGAAAAAGAAAGGAUUGGAGUUCAAUGUGGUAUCUGGAUUCUUCUUACGGGAAAUUGAACUGUUUGUUCUUCGGAAAUAGGGUCUUGGAUAAGAUAAUUCCCUUUUUAUUUUAAUAUCACAUACAUUGGAGUACACGCCAAAUUUCAACAGUGAGUAAAGUUAGAAAAAUUCAAAUUUAAAUCUUCCUCAAAAUAACGUUAAAACCUCA